rnacentral:lncRNA from 1 species
AUUUCCUAGCAAGGCUAUAAGCAUGUCAGCCCAGCCUGCUCAGUUCAUUGGAUCCAAUUGUUCUAAAAACAUUUUAAAAUUCAUUUGGUAGUGAGUUAGCAUAGCUAGAAUCGGACGGGGCCUUCCCUCUGCUCUUCCACCGAAACGAAUGAAUGCUGCAAUGGAUAGCUGCUGUUUUACGGGCUCCUGGCCGACGUGUAGGCACCCUGACGAAACUAUGUCGGUGAAUAAAUAAUCAGCCUCUACCCUCCGUUCUACUAAUGUAUAAUCACUGGAAAACAAACUGGAUGAGCUCUAUUCGAGACUAUCCUAUCAACGGGACCUGAAGAACUGUAACAUCCUAUGUUUCUCGGAGUCGUAGCUGAACAAGGACAUUAAUCAUAUCUAGCUGGUUUUUCUAUGCAACCUCAAGCCCGUACGGCAGCAUCGGGGAGGUGUCACGUUUCAGGAGAGGACCCAGAUG